GACGAACCGAGCGAACGUUGUUCGGAAUCACUGGGCGUAAAGGGCGCGUAGGUGGCCCGUUAAGUGGCUGGUGAAAUCCCGCGGCUCAACUGCGGGGCUGCCGGUCAUACUGGCGAGCUAGAGCACGGUAGGGGCAGAUGGAAUUCCCGGUGUAGCGGUGGAAUGCGUAGAGAUCGGGAAGAAUACCAGUGGCGAAGGCGUUCUGCUGGGCCGUUGCUGACACUGAGGCGCGACAGCGUGGGGAGCAAACAGG
rnacentral:rRNA from 1 species